rnacentral:sRNA from 1 species
AGUGGGGGAGGGGUCAAGAAGGGAGGUUACUAGGAAGGGCUAUGGGGCCUCCAACCCACUGCAUCCUGCUCCCCCAGGAUCCCCGACGCUACGAGGAGUGGAAGUGGUUCCGCUGCCCCACGCUGCUGGAGGUGCUGGAGCAGUUCCCGUCGGUGGCGCUGCCUGCCCCACUGCUCCUCACCCAGCUGCCUCUGCUCCAGCCCCGGUACUACUCAGUCAGCUCGGCACCCAGCACCCACCCAGGAGAGAUCCACCUCACUGUAGCUGUGCUGGCAUACAGGACUCAGGGUGAGGCAACGAGCAGGAGCAGGCCUGGCCACAGCAGGGUUGGGACCGGCCCCUCUCUGGCCCCUCACCGGCCUCUCCUUCCCACCCCCAGAUGGGCUGGGCCCCCUGCACUAUGGAGUCUGCUCCACGUGGCUAAGCCAGCUCAAGCCCGGAGACCCUGUGCCCUGCUUCAUCCGGGGGGCUCCCUCCUUCCGGCUGCCACCCGAUCCCAGCUUGCCCUGCAUCCUAGUGGGCCCAGGCACUGGCAUUGCCCCCUUCCGGGGAUUCUGGCAGGAGCGGCUGCAUGACAUUGAGAGCAAAGGGCUGCAGCCCACUCCCAUGACUUUGGUGUUCGGCUGCCGAUGCUCCCAACUUGACCAUCUCUACCGCGACGAGGUGCAGAACGCCCAGCAGCGCGGGGUGUUUGGCCGAGUCCUCACCGCCUUCUCCCGGGAACCUGACAACCCCAA